rnacentral:rRNA from 1 species
UACAGAGGGGGCAAGCGUUGUUCGGAAUUACUGGGCGUAAAGGGCGCGUAGGCGGCCUGUUAAGUCGAACGUGAAAUCCCCGGGCUCAACCCGGGAACUGCGUCCGAUACUGGCAGGCUUGAAUCCGGGAGAGGGAUGCGGAAUUCCAGGUGUAGCGGUGAAAUGCGUAGAUAUCUGGAGGAAUACCGGUGGCGAAGGCGGCAUCCUGGACCGACAUUGACGCUGAUGAGCGAAAGCUAGGGGAGCAAACGGG